rnacentral:pre_miRNA from 1 species
GGGCUCCACGAUCACCCCAAAGAGGGAGGCCCAGGCCACUGACUGGCAGGCUGCGGUGGGUGAGCUGGGCCUCCCUCUGUGGGGUGAUCGAUUGCAGGGC